ACCUCGGUGGUGUAGUGCUAGCACCCGUCCCCGAUACGGAUGAAGCGCGGGUUCGACUUCCGCUUGAGGUC